rnacentral:rRNA from 1 species
UACAGAGGCCCCGAGCGUUACCCGGAAUUACUGGGCGUAAAGAGUGCGUAGGUGGUCGUGUUAGUCGUUUGUAAAAUCCCAGGGCUCAACUCUGGACGCGCAAGCGAAACGGCACGACUCGAGAGCGUGAGAGGUCUGUGGAACUCUAGGUGUAGGGGUGAAAUCCGUUGAUAUCUAGGGGAACACCGAAAGCGAAGGCAGCAGACUGGCGCGUUUCUGACACUCAAGCACGAAAGCGUGGGUAG